GCCAAAGCGGAAGCGAGCUCGCCACGAAUUUCAUUUACAAACAGUCCUUGAAGUGGGGUCUCGUCUCCAAGCUAGAGACCACAGCUGCAAUGGCGUUGUGAAGACAGGUGAUUACCAAUUAGCACAUUACAUUGAGAGGGACGAACUAUCCAGAGGAGGAGCAGGCAAAAGACUCUCCGGUUCGACGUGAAUUUGAUAUUGAAAUGAAGAGGCGCCUCGCAUAAAUCGCAUAAAUAUGCUAAUUAGUCAAGUGCCUCACGACAACACACACACACACACACACACAGUCAUAGACAACGCAGCCUCUACAGCAUUUCGCGUUGAAUUUAUUUAGAAUUAAUUUCAACUUCUACUGAUUUGCAUAAAUUGUGUGAAUGCUUAAUGGACUUGUCUGCCAGCCACCGACACAAACACAAACCCAAACCCAAUCCAAACAAAAUCAAACGAAACGAAACGAAUUAAAAUAAAAAAGCGAAACGAAACGAAAUGAAAUGAAGCGAGCGCGACGGCUGAAAGUAAAAGUUAAUUAUCGCUCAAGACUAGAAUCGUCAAUUGGGUACCCCCAGUCCCGUCUAGAAUUGGGUCAAUGGAAUCGAUGAAUGAAAAUGAAAUUGCUUUCAAAAAUACGCACAACCCACAGAAGCAAAACAAACCAUACAUAAGAAAGCGCCAGCUCAUGCAGAGAAACCCGAGAAAGUAACACGAGAAGCUGAGAAUAAUUGAAAAAUGCCUCUUGUUACCCACAGUUAACCUUUGAGUCUAAGUCCCUGAUUACGCAUACGCAAUAGAGCCUGCAGACAAGGCUUUAUUGUAUGGACUCCAAAUGGAACAGAGAACAUAGGCAGACAAUGACAGCGAGAGAGAGAGAGUGAAGCAGAGUCGGGGUAAGAUAACCCCACUGUGGUGAUGGUCGUAAAAAGGGAGAAAUUGAAAGAAAUGAACACCAAGCACUCCAAAUAUGAACUUAUGACAGAGGCAGCUCUUGGAGCAGCAGCAACAAUCAUCUAUAAGAAGCAGAGACAGUCAGGGACAGUGGAAUCUCAAAGUAAACCAAGAGUCAGAGGAGCCAACGGGACACAAGACACCAAGAUAACUCCGAGCUGGAGCAGGGGCAUUCCCCUGGAGGGACUGGAGGCAGAACUUAAAGCUGAUUUAGAAUCCGAUUCGGUUUCCUCCUCAGCAGUGGAG
rnacentral:lncRNA from 1 species